rnacentral:SRP_RNA from 1 species
GCUGGGCAUGGUGGUGCAUGCCUGUAAUCCCAGCUACUGAGGAGGCUGAGGCAGAAGAAUCGCUUGAGCCUGGGAAGCAGAGGCUGCAGUGAGCUGAGAUCGUGUGCCACUGCACUCCAACCUGGGCUACAGAGCGAGAGUCUGUCUCAA